rnacentral:rRNA from 1 species
CCCUUAGAUGUUCUGGGCUGCACGCGCGCUACACUGAUGCGCUCAACGAGUUUAUGACCUUGCCCGGAAGGGUUGGGUAAUCUUCUUAAAACGCAUCGUGAUGGGGAUAGAUUAUUGCAAUUAUUAAUCUUCAACGAGGAAUUCCUAGUAAACGCAGAUCAUCAAUCUGCAUUGAUUACGUCCCUGCCCUUUGUACACACCGCCCGUCGCACCUACCGAUUGGAUGGUCCGGUGAAGCCUCGGGAUUGUGGUUCUUGCCGCUUUAUUGUGGCGUGACCGCGAGAACUUGUCUAAACCUUAUCAUCUAGAGGAAGGUGAAGUCGUAACA